rnacentral:rRNA from 1 species
AUACAUGCAGUCGAACGAGGUUUAGUAGCAAUACUAAACUUAGUGGCGCACGGGUGCGUAACGCGUAUGCAACCUACCUUCAACUGGGGGAUAGCCCCUCGAAAGAGGGAUUAAUACCCCAUAGUAAUUAGAUAAGGCAUCUUAUUUAGUUUAAAGUUCCGGCGGUUGAAGAUGGGCAUGCGUGACAUUAGCUAGUUGGUGAGGUAACUGCUCACCAAGGCUACGAUGUCUAGGGGCUCUGAGAGGAUGAUCCCCCACACUGGUACUGAGACAGGNNNNNNNNNNUACGGGAGGCAGCAGUAAGGAAUAUUGGUCAAUGGACGCAAGUCUGAACCAGCCAUGCCGCGUGAAGGAUGAAUGCCCUAUGGGUUGUAAACUUCUUUUGUACGGGAAUAAACCCAGGUACGUGUACCUGGCUGAAUGUACCGUAAGAAUAAGGAUCGGCUAACUCCGUGCCAGCAGCCGCGGUAAUACGGAGGAUCCAAGCGUUAUCCGGAUUCAUUGGGUUUAAAGGGUGCGUAGGCGGAUUUGUAAGUCAGUGGUGAAAGCCUGCAGCUCAACUGCAGAACUGCCAUUGAUACUGCAAGUCUUGAGUACACUUGACGUGGGCGGAAUGUGUCAUGUAGCGGUGAAAUGCUUAGAUAUGACACAGAACACCGAUUGCGAAGGCAGCUCACGAAAUUGUAACUGACGCUGAGGCACGACAGCGUGGGGAUCAAACAGGAUUAGAUACCCUGGUAGUCCACGCCGUAAACUAUGAAUACUCGAUGUUGGCGAUAUACUGUCAGCGUCUAAGCUAAAGCAUUAAGUAUUCCACCUGGGGAGUACGGUCGCAAGAUUGAAACUCAAAGGAAUUGACGGGGGCCCGCACAAGCGGAGGAGCAUGUGGUUUAAUUCGAUGAUACGCGUGGAACCUUACCAGGGCUUGAAAGUUAGUGACCGCUGCCGAAAGGUAGCUUUCCUUCGGGACACGAAACUAGGUGCUGCAUGGCUGUCGUCAGCUCGUGCCGUGAGGUGUUGGGUUAAGUCCCGCAACGAGCGCAACCCCUAUCUUUAGUUGCCAGCGAGUAAUGUCGGGGACUCCAAAGAAACUGCCCGCGUAAGCGUGGAGGAAGGUGGGGAUGACGUCAAGUCAGCACGGCCCUUACGUCCUGGGCUACACACGUGCUACAAUGGGUGAGACAGAGGGCUGCUACAUAGUAAUAUGAUGCUAAUCUCGAAACUCGCUCUCAGUUCGGAUUGAGGUCUGCAACUCGACCUCAUGAAGCUGGAUUCGCUAGUAAUCGCGUAUCAGCAAUGACGCGGUGAAUACGUUCCCGGGCCUUGUACACACCGCCCGUCAAACAAUGGAAGUUGGGGGUACCUAAAGUCAAUAGCC